AUGGAGUCGCUCGCCCUCCUCAGCGCCAAGCCCGGCCUCUCUCUCCGGGCGGGGCCCCGCCUCCCGCUCCCGCGCCUCCGGGCCGCCCGCGCGUCCCUCUCCACCGCGUCCAGCUCCAGGCCCGCCGCCCUCCAGUCCCCACUCCUCUCGUCGAGGCCCCCCUCCUCGCAGGACGCCGUCCUGGGGUAUGGGCUCUUGAAGCGCAGGACCAGUGCUGGUGCUGGCGUCUCUUGCAGCGCGGCGGCCGCGGCGGCGGUGCCGCAGCCCCCGGCGCAGCCGGAGGUCAAGAAGUUCCUCGGCGUGGGCCUCCCGACGCUCAAGAAGAUCGUGCCCCUGGGCCUGAUGUUCUUCUGCAUCCUCUUCAACUACACCAUCCUUCGGGACACCAAGGACGUGCUGGUGGUGACCGCCAAGGGGAGCAGCGCGGAAAUCAUCCCCUUCCUCAAGACCUGGGUCAACCUGCCCAUGGCCAUCGGCUUCAUGCUCGCAUACUCCAAGCUCUCCGACGUGCUCUCCCGGGAGGCGCUCUUCUACACCGUCAUAUUCCCCUUCAUCGCCUUCUUCGGCCUCUUCGGCUUCGUGCUCUACCCGCUCAGGGAUGCCAUCCAUCCCACCGCCCUCGCCGACAAGCUUCUGGCGGCGCUCGGCCCGAGCUUCCUUGGACCGGUAGCUAUCCUCAGGAUUUGGAGCUUCUGCUUAUUCUAUGUCAUGGCCGAGCUGUGGGGCAGCGUCGUCGUCUCUGUCCUCUUCUGGGGUUUUGCCAACCAGAUCACCACAGUCGAUGAAGCAAAAGAAUUCUACCCUCUAUUUGGCCUUGGGGCAAAUAUUGCGCUUAUCUUUUCUGGGCGUACUGUGAAAUAUUUCUCAAAUUUGCGGAAGACAAUGGGUCCAGGAGUUGAUGGUUGGGAGGUAUCUUUGAAAGGAAUGAUGGGCAUAGUGGUACUUCUUGGGCUUGUCAUUACUUCCAUCUAUUGGGGAGUGAACAAACUUGUGUUGAAUGAUCCUUCUCUUCCAAAAUCUGACCACAAGAAGAAAAAGAACAAACCUAAGCUUAGCAUGAAAGAGAGUAUGAAAGUUCUGAUCUCUUCAAAAUAUGUGAGGGACCUUGCUACCUUAGUCGUUGCAUAUGGCAUUAGUAUCAAUCUUGUGGAAGUCACAUGGAAAUCGAAGCUCAAGGCACAGUUCCCCAGUCCAAACGAGUACUCAUCUUUCAUGGGUGAUUUCUCUACCGCAACUGGAAUUGCAACUUUCACAAUGAUGCUGUUAGGUCGGAUUAUAUUCCAAAGAUUUGGCUGGGGAGUGGCUGCCAUGAUCACCCCCACAGUUUUGUUGCUGACUGGCGUUGGUUUCUUCUCUCUGAUUUUGUUUGGGCAACCACUGACUCCCCUGCUUGCCACAUGGGGUAUGACCCCUCUUCUUGCGGCUGUUUAUGUGGGUGCGCUGCAGAACAUAUUUAGCAAAAGUGCAAAGUACAGUUUAUUCGACCCGUGCAAGGAAAUGGCCUAUAUUCCUUUGGAUGGAGAUAUGAAGUUGAAGGGAAAGGCAGCCAUUGAUGUUGUCUGCAAUCCAUUGGGCAAAUCGGGUGGUGCGCUGAUCCAACAGUUUUUGAUCCUGAUAUUUGGCUCUUUGGCAAACUCGACCCCCUACCUUGGCGGUAUACUGUUGGUCAUCGUGCUUGCAUGGCUAGGCGCGGCAAGAUCAUUGGACAAGCAAUUCUCAAGCUUGGCCAAAGAGGAUCUCAGAAAGGAGAUGUCGAAAGAGAAAGUAGAAACGGCGGCACCCAAGGAACCUGAGGCGGCUACUGAUGUAUUGGUGGAGCAAUCAAAUGGAACUGAGAACUCACCAUCCGACUCAUCUCCAGCUCAAUAG
rnacentral:rRNA from 1 species